rnacentral:Y_RNA from 1 species
GGUUGGUGCGAGUGUAGUGGUGUUUACAACUAAUUGAUCACAACCAGUUACAGAUUCCUUUGUUCCUUCUCCACUCCCACUGCUGCACUUGACCAGCCUAAA